AUUGAACGCUGGCGGCAUGCCUUACACAUGCAAGUCGAACGGCAGCACGGGAGCUUGCUCCUGGUGGCGAGUGGCGAACGGGUGAGUAAUACAUCGGAACGUACCCUGAAGUGGGGGAUAACGUAGCGAAAGUUACGCUAAUACCGCAUAUUCUGUGAGCAGGAAAGAGGGGGAUCGCAAGACCUCUUGCUUUAGGAGCGGCCGAUGUCGGAUUAGCUAGUUGGUGAGGUAAAGGCUCACCAAGGCGACGAUCCGUAGCGGGUCUGAGAGGAUGAUCCGCCACACUGGGACUGAGACACGGCCCAGACUCCUACGGGAGGCAGUAGUGGGGAAUUUUGGACAAUGGGCGCAAGCCUGAUCCAGCCAUGCCGCGUGAGUGAAGAAGGCC
rnacentral:rRNA from 1 species